rnacentral:rRNA from 1 species
AUUGAACGCUGGCGGCAGGCCUAACACAUGCAAGUCGAGCGGCAGCGGGAAAGUAGCUUGCUACUUUUGCCGGCGAGCGGCGGACGGGUGAGUAAUGCCUGGGGAUCUGCCCAGUCGAGGGGGAUAACUACUGGAAACGGUAGCUAAUACCGCAUGCGCCCUACGGGGGAAAGCAGGGGACCUUCGGGCCUUGCGCGAUUGGAUGAACCCAGGUGGGAUUAGCUAGUUGGUGAGGUAACGGCUCACCAAGGCGACGAUCCCUAGCUGGUCUGAGAGGAUGAUCAGCCACACUGGAACUGAGACACGGUCCAGACUCCUACGGGAGGCAGCAGUGGGGAAUAUUGCACAAUGGGGGAAACCCUGAUGCAGCCAUGCCGCGUGUGUGAAGAAGGCCUUCGGGUUGUAAAGCACUUUCAGCGAGGAGGAAAGGUUGGUAGCUAAUAACUGCCAGCUGUGACGUUACUCGCAGAAGAAGCACCGGCUAACUCCGUGCCAGCCGCCGCGGUAAGAC